rnacentral:tRNA from 1 species
GAGCUAUUAACUCAGUUGGUUUAGAGUGUCACCUUGACAGGGUGGAAGUCACUGGUUCGAAUCCAGUAUAGCUCA